GCGCCCGUGGCGGAAUUGGCAGACGCGCUAGAUUCAGGUUCUAGUGACUAACAUCGUACAGGUUCAAGUCCUGUCGGGCGCACCA
rnacentral:tRNA from 1 species